UCCUUAUUAGCUCAGUUGGUAGAGCGUUCGGCUUUUAAGGAUAAUCGAAUUUCGAGAAGUCGACCGAAAUGUCCAGGGUUCGAGCCCCUGAUAAGGAG
rfam:Candida arabinofermentans NRRL YB-2248 unplaced genomic scaffold CANARscaffold_33, whole genome shotgun sequence.